rnacentral:rRNA from 1 species
AUACGGGGGGUGCAAGCGUUAAUCGGAAUUACUGGGCGUAAAGCGCGCGUAGGCGGUUUGCUCAGUCGGAUGUGAAAGCCCAGGGCUCAACCUUGGAACUGCAUACGAUACUGGCAAACUAGAGUGUGGGAGAGGAUAGUGGAAUUUCCGGUGUAGCGGUGAAAUGCGUAGAUAUCGGAAGGAACAUCAGUGGCGAAGGCGACUGUCUGGCUCAACACUGACGCUGAGGUGCGAAAGCGUGGGUAGCAAACAGGAUUAGAUACCCUAGUAGUCC